GCUGGGUGUGGUGGCGUGUGCCUGUAAUCCCAGCUACUCGGGAGGCUGAGACAGGAGAAUUGCUUGAGCCUGGGAGGUGGAGGUUGCAGUGAGCCGAGAUUGCACCAUUGAACUCCAGCCUGGGCAACAGAGCAAGACUCCGUCUCAA
rnacentral:SRP_RNA from 1 species